GUCGGUGCAUGGAUUAGAUGGUAGCUGGCCCAUGCCGUCGUCCGCCUCAUCCACGCUGAAGGCGUUGUUGAAGGAAGGAACAGGUUCUCAUCGAGAACGAAAAGUACUGGGUUUAUUUA
rnacentral:lncRNA from 1 species